GUCUCUGUGGAUGAAUGGAAAGUCACCUCGAGUUGAUGAAUGUUUCGUUUGUAUCUUCGCGGCGAGAUGUGGGUUCAAAUCCCACCAGGGGCU